rnacentral:rRNA from 1 species
GACGAACGCUGGCGGCGUGCUUAACACAUGCAAGUCGAACGGAAAGGCCCUGCUUUUGUGGGGUGCUCGAGUGGCGAACGGGUGAGUAACACGUGAGUAACCUGCCCUUGACUUUGGGAUAACUUCAGGAAACUGGGGCUAAUACCGGAUAGGAGCUCCUGCUGCAUGGUGGGGGUUGGAAAGUUUCGGCGGUUGGGGAUGGACUCGCGGCUUAUCAGCUUGUUGGUGGGGUAGUGGCUUACCAAGGCUUUGACGGGUAGCCGGCCUGAGAGGGUGACCGGCCACAUUGGGACUGAGAUGCGGCCCAGACUCCUACGGGAGGCAGCAGUGGGGAAUAUUGCACAAUGGGCGGAAGCCUGAUGCAGCAACGCCGCGUGCGGGAUGACGUCCUUCGGGUUGUAAACCGCUUUCGCCUGUGACGAAGCGUUAGUGACGGUAAUGGGUAAAGAAGCACCGGCUAACUACGUG